CCUGGGCUCCACCCUUCUGUCCCUGAGUUUCAUGUUGUUAGAAUGGUCACCAGGUGGCGCCGCAGGCUCGCUGUUUGGGCCUCGGAGUGUUCAGGGCUUCGCCCCUGGUCAGGAUCUGUGUCAGGCUGCGACGCAUCUGCCAGAGUGCUCUGGAGUGCUGUUGGGAGUGAGUGGCACAUUUUCUGAUGUGCUUGGAGCCUGGGGCACGAUGUCAGGAGGAGGGAGGCUGGAGGAAGGAAAACCUCAACCUUGUAAAUUCAUAGCUGGCAGCCUCUCAAGAGAACCAGUGACAGGAGAAGAAGAAAGGCCACUUGUGGCUGGGUCUCUGUCCUGAGCAAGCUGCUUAUCUCUAACCGGAAUAGAACAGCCAGCUGUGGCAGUUGCCAGGUGGCAGGUCUUUCAAGGACGGCCCCUUGACUUAUGGCUCCCAACACCCACCCUUCCUUCUGCCUUCUCUUCCACAUAGAUUCCUGAGCCCUGAGGGAAGGUGUUUGAUGACAUCUCAGUAAAGACUGAGUGUUCCAGAACCUUUCACUCUCCGCAUUGACCAGAUGUGGUUCUCUGAGUUCCUUCCCAACUUUUGCAAAAGGAAGCUUCCCAGAUGAUGGCUAAGCAAAGGCACUGAUCUGAGUCACAGCCCAGUGUGUCUGACUUCUACUUAGAAAAAAAAAAGUAAAGCAUAAACAAAUAAACCUACCCCAAACACCUCA
rnacentral:lncRNA from 1 species